GUGGCUUCGGCUACCACUUACAGAUGGACCCGCGGCGCAUUAGCUAGUUGGUGAGGUAACGGCUCACCAAGGCGACGAUGCGUAGCCGACCUGAGAGGGUGAUCGGCCACACUGGGACUGAGACACGGCCCAGACUCCUACGGGAGGCAGCAGUAGGGAAUCUUCCGCAAUGGACGAAAGUCUGACGGAGCAACGCCGCGUGAGUGAUGAAGGUUUUCGGAUCGUAAAGCUCUGUUGUUAGGGAAGAACAAGUGCCGUUCAAAUAGGGCGGCACCUUGACGGUACCUAACCAGAAAGCCACGGCUAACUACGUGCCAGCAGCCGCGGUAAUACGUAGGUGGCAAGCGUUGUCCGGAAUUAUUGGGCGUAAAGGGCUCGCAGGCGGUUUCUUAAGUCUGAUGUGAAAGCCCCCGGCUCAACCGGGGAGGGUCAUUGGAAACUGGGGAACUUGAGUGCAGAAGAGGAGAGUGGAAUUCCACGUGUAGCGGUGAAAUGCGUAGAGAUGUGGAGGAACACCAGUGGCGAAGGCGACUCUCUGGUCUGUAACUGACGCUGAGGAGCGAAAGCGUGGGGA
rnacentral:rRNA from 1 species